rnacentral:rRNA from 1 species
CCUACGGGUGACUGCAGUGAGGAAUAUUGGUCAAUGGACGAAAGUCUGAACCAGCCAAGUAGCGUGAAGGAUGACUGCCCUCUGGGUUGUAAACUUCUUUUAUAUGGGAAUAAAAUGUUCCACGUGUGGGAUUUUGUAUGUACCCUAUGAAUAAGGAUCGGCUAACUCCGUGCGAGCAGCCGCGGUAAUAUGGGGGGUCCGUGCGUUAUCCGGAUUUUUUGGGUUUAAAGGGAGCGUAGGUGGAUUGUUAAGUCAGGUGUGAAAGUUUGCGGCUCAACCGUACAAUUGCAGUUGAAACUGGCAGGCUUGAGUACGGGAGAGGUAGGCGGAAUUCGUGGUGUAGCGGUGAAAUGCUUAGAUAUCACGAAGAACUCCGAUGGCGAAGGCAGUUCACUGGACUGCAACUGACACUGAGGCUCGAAAGUGUGGGUAUCAAACAGGAUUAGAUACCCCUGUAGUC